rnacentral:tRNA from 1 species
GCCUGGAUGGCUCAGUUAGUUGGGCAUCCGACUUUGGCUCAGGUCAUGAUCUCACAGUCCGUGGGUUCGAGCCCCGCGUCAGGCU